UACGAAGGGGGCUAGCGUUGUUCGGAUUUACUGGGCGUAAAGCGCACGUAGGCGGAUUGUUAAGUCAGGGGUGAAAUCCCGGAGCUCAACUCCGGAACUGCCUUCGAUACUGGCAAUCUUGAGGCUGGAAGAGGUUAGUGGAAUUCCCAGUGUAGAGGUGAAAUUCGUAGAUAUUGGGAAGAACACCAGUGGCGAAGGCGGCUAACUGGUCCAGAUCUGACGCUGAGGUGCGAAAGCGUGGGGAGCAAACAGG
rnacentral:rRNA from 1 species